CCUGGAUUGCGCAUGGGGGCAGCCUGACGCAGCCACGCCGUCAGUGGGGGAUGAAGGCCUUUGGGUUGUAAACUCCUUUCGAUCGGGACGAUGAUGACGGUACCGGAUGAAGAAGCCCCGGCUAACUCUGUGCCAGCAGCCGCGGUAAUAAAUUAGAUAAUAAAGC
rnacentral:rRNA from 1 species